AACGAACGCUGGCGGCAGGCCUAACACAUGCCAGUCGAGCGCAUCCUUCGUGGUGGGUGGCAGACGGGUGUGUAACGUGUCGGACUCUUCCUUUUGCUACGGAAUAGUUCCGGUUAACUGGAAUUAAUAUCGUAUGUGCUCCUCUGGUGCAAGAUCCAACGUCCGGGGAGGAGCACGCGUUGGAUUAGCCUGUUGGUGGGGUAAGGGCCUACCACGGGUUCGAUCCAUAGCUGGUUAGAGAGGAUGGGCAGCCACAUUGGGACGGAGACGCGGCCGAAAAUCCUACGCGAGGCAGGAGUGGGGAAUAUAGGACAACGGGGGCAGGGCUGAACGAGCCAGGCCGGGUGAGUGAUGAAGGCGUUAGAGAAAAGAAGCUCUUUCACCGGAGAAGAUAAUGACGGUAUCCGGAGAAGAAGCCCCGGCUAACUUCGUG
rnacentral:rRNA from 1 species